rnacentral:rRNA from 1 species
AGCGAACGUUUGCGGCGGGCUUAACACAUGCAAGUCGAACGAGAAUCCCUUCGGGGAGGAAAGUGGCGCACGGGUGCGUAACACGUGGAUAACCAACCCAUUGGUUUGGGGCAACACCGGGAAACUGGUGCUAAUACCAGAUGUGUCGCAGCUGUCUUCAGGCGGUUGCGAGAAAGGCCCGCAAGGGUCGCCAACGGACGGGUCCGCGUCCCAUCAGCUAGUUGGUGAGGUAAUGGCUCACCAAGGCAAAGACGGGUAGCUGGUCUGAGAGGAUGAUCAGCCACACUGGAACUGAGACACGGUCCAGACUCCUACGGGAGGCAGCAGUGGGGAAUAUUGCGCAAUGGGCGAAAGCCUGACGCAGCCACGCCGCGUGAGCGAUGAAGGUCUUCGGAUCGUAAAGCUCUGUGGGGGGAGAAGAAGAAAGCCGGUGAAGAGCCGGCCCUGACGGUAUCCCCUUAGCAAGCACCGGCUAACUCCGUGCCAGCAGCCGCGGUAAAGUG